rnacentral:rRNA from 1 species
CACGAAAUAAUAUGAGCUAAGGGUUACAUAUAGUGGUAUAAAUAUGUUGCAGAAUGUGUUAGAGUGGCCCUUAGGGGUGACAGACCUCACAAAUAUUAAAAUAUCUUGUUUACCCUUAAACUUAUUUAGUAAAAAGACAAACCUGGAGUGCUAAUAUUUCUGGUAAGAAUUAACCCCCACACUAUGAAGCUAUCUGGUGUAAAAACAUAUAAAUAGUAAACUAUAAUAUUUAUUUGUAUUAGUUAUUAACAUUAGGGGAAAAUAUUUUAAUUAAAAUUAAUACCUAUAAUGUUAAUAUUAGUAGUCAUAUAGGAAUAUUAAAUGAACUCGGCUAAAAUUGCUCGACUGUUUAUCAAAAACAUAGCUAGAUGUAAUUAUAUUUAGUGCUUCCUGCUCAAUGAUAUAUUUAAUAGCCGCAGUACCUUGACUGUGCAAAGGUAGCAUAAUCAAUUGGCUUAUAAUUGAAGUCUAGAAUGAAAGGAUAUACGGGCAGUUACUGUAUCUGAUAUUUAUUGCAAAAUUAGUUUUCAAGUGCAAAUACUUGUAAAUAAUUGUUAGACGAGAAGACCCUAGAAAUUUGUAUUAAUGUUUCGUUGGGGCAACGUGGUAGGAAAACCUACAGUAAAAGACAAGAAAAAAUUUUGAGAGAAAAAAUUACUCUAGGGAUAACAGCAUAAUUUAUAAAAGUUUGUGACCUCGAUGUUGGAUUUGGGAAUUAUAGUUCAGAA